rnacentral:rRNA from 1 species
UACAGAGGUCUCAAGCGUUGUUCGGAUUCAUUGGGCGUAAAGGGCGCGUAGGCGGCGCGGUAAGUCGGGUGUGAAAUCUCGGGGCUUAACUCCGAAACUGCAUUCGAUACUGCCGUGCUUGAGGACUGGAGAGGAGACUGGAAUUUACGGUGUAGCGGUGAAAUGCGUAGAUAUCGUAAGGAAGACCAGUGGCGAAGGCGGGUCUCUGGACAGUUCCUGACGCUGAGGCACGAAGGCCAGGGGAGCAAACGGG